rnacentral:rRNA from 1 species
GACGAAGGUGGCGAGCGUUGUUCGGAAUCACUGGGCCUAAAGCGCACGUAGGCGGCGACGUAAGUUGGGUGUGAAAUCCCUCGGCCCAACCGAGGAACUGCGCCCAGUACUGCGUUGCCUGAGGAUCCAAGGGGUGCAUGGAAUUCCCGGUGGAGCGGUGAAAUGCGUUGAUAUCGGGAGGAACUCCGGCGGCGAAAGCGGUGCACUGGUGGAUUACUGACGCUGAGGUGCGAAAGCCAGGGGAGCAAACGGG